UGAACCAGAAUACGCGACUCACUUCGGUGCGGUACUCUGUACCUACGAACUCUCGCCCGCCACUUGCGGUACUCUCACUGAAUCAUACGAGGAUGGUGGGUGCAGGAUGUAAAUAUUUGUUUUGAAUGGUUUUUGCGGAGGUGUGGCUUCGCGCAUCCGCCUGAUCGGGAAUUGAAUUGGAGGGGCCCAUCUGGUCCGAUCACCUCAACCUUUUACGUAAUCAGAAAUGAAGUGACCACCGAUGCCAGUGACCACCAGUGAUAUUAGGCCUAUGACAUCAUCGUCAGCCAAUCACAGCGAUCGUAACCAAGCUUUUUUGUACUUGAUGACUCUAUUUGGUCAUACAGUAAGGGGUUGUCCGCGACGGAAAUUUCUCCAGCCUUUAAAAAGGAGCGAAACGUUUCAGUUCGGGCAGUUUCGGAAAAGGUUCAGUUUCAGAAAGAUUUGGACGCCGAAAAACCUGAUGCUCAGGAUUUUCGCAACGGGAAGAAGCAACGAGACAUUUUACAGCCAGUUAGAUUCAGACUGAUCAAUAUUCUUCGCAAACUCAGGGCUCAGAACAGUCGUUUAUCCUGGUGUCUAGGAUCCGUGCAUCACACAGGCAAGACAUAUAAGCCCUGCUCCAGCAUUAGUGCAUUUUCAUCCCGAUCACAAUUAAGUGUCUGCUCUAUUUUUGGUACAUUUCAUGAGUUUCAUUACUUUUCUUAUUAUUGUAUAAAUCCAGGUUUAUAUUUGCCUUUAUGAUACUCAUAUUAUCCAGUUCAGUAUCAUUUGUUUAGCUCCUUUUUUCCCUAUACAUGUACAUGAAACUGUUUUUGUCUCCACUCUUUUCUUAGAAAUCGUUUUAACUAGCCUUUCUGUUUGGAAACUUUGAAACUUUUGAUUACUGUUAUAAGUUUUUAUUCCAACUUGAUUAUUCUUUUGGC